ACGCUCGACACCUACGGAGGCAGCAGUGGGGAAUAUUGCACAAUGGGGGAAACCCUGAUGCAGCGACGCCGCGUGGAGGAAGAAGGUCUUCGGAUUGUAAACUCCUGUUGUUGGGGAAAAAGAGGAUGGUACCCAACAAGGAAGUGACGGCUAACUACGUGCCAGCACGCCGUAGUAUNGNGGCGGCGGUCGACGGACGC
rnacentral:rRNA from 1 species